UAAACAAACAGCACAGACUUAUUUUAAAGGCACAUAGUCAUCUUGAAAAUAGUCCAUUACUGAAAAUUUAGUAGCCAUGAUUGCAUCCAUCAACCCCUAGUGUAACUUUAAAAAGCUGGAUUUUUUUUUUGGCAUGAAUAACAAGCCUGGCUUGCUUGAGGAUUCUCUAGAUGCCUAAGAAGGUAUGAAUUGUAAGACCUCAUAAUUCAAGUAUGCUGACCCAUACUUCAAAGAAUAACACAGACUUCCUCUUUCUGAAGGGAGAAGAUAUGGCUAAUGUAAACCCUGGGAAGUGUUAUGAGCUUCAAAGGACUCUUGGAAACAAUGUGCUAAAGCAGACAAACACUAUUAAGUGGGACUCCUAGGAAAUACUUGGGAGAAGAGGAAGUCUACUUCUCACCCCGACUCAACCUUUUGAAGCUGCACCUUGAGCAAGGGCCUUUUAUCUGCUCAUUAAAGACAAGAUCAGAGGCCCAGGCUGGAUAAAACAGUGGCUCACAGACACAUGGGGCUGCACGUGCUGAACAAAAGGUGUUAUGAACUUGUGACCAGAGAAAACCCCCUUUGCGGGGUCUGAAGGACUGUUCACCUGCCAGAGUCCUUGUUGGAGUUGGGGUGAUCUCUGGUAAGCUUAUUAGCAUGCAUGUGGGUUCUUUCGUUAUUUGCAAUAGGUUUACUCUGUAAUGCUUUCACCUCAAAAAUAAGUGUGCUUGCUUAGAAAGAGCUGUGUGGUAAUUUAACUGUGGGUAAUUACACUGUUUAUAAUCUCUGAGGAGAGAAGUAAAGCAUGCCGGCUUAGACAGUCUGACUUUGCUGAGGAAUUCACAGUGUAAGCAGGGAUCUGUGCAGCCUGGAUAUACCCCCGUCAGGAGGGAGAGAGACUUGCCCAAGAGAAGUGAUGGCGAGGGAGCCGGAAACCUAAGAGUGGGAGCCCUUGUUGGACCAGUUUCUCAGAGGAACCUGGACUAAGAAAAGAUACAAGCUUCAAAAGUUCCUCCCAGACAAGUCAUGAGCAACAUUAUAUGUAACAAAGCUAAGAGCUGGGGAUAAGAAAGAUAGCCAGCCUCAAACCAUGCUCCAUUCAAAGUUUUGAAAACUGAUGGAAAAUAUAUUCAGAAAUCAAACCCAAUUAUCUUAUUUUUACUUAUAUUUAAUCUACCCUUUUUCUGUUACAAAAACUUGCCACUGCAGCAGAGACCAUUCCAGACAAUGUUUUCACAUGCCACAGAGUAUCUGAUAUAUUACCAAGAUAGUAUUAACUAGAGCAAAUUGACAUGCUAUCAGAAAUUAACACACCUGUUGGCCAUGCCAACAAGCUCUUCACUUAAUCUCUACUGCUUUGCCCUCUACUUAUGA